UACGUAGGGGGCAAGCGUUGUCCGGAUUUAUUGGGCGUAAAGAGCGUGUAGGCGGCCAGGUAGGUCCGCUGUGAAAACUCGAGGCUCAACCUCGAGAUGUCGGCGGAAACCAUCUGGCUAGAGUCCGGAAGAGGAAAGUGGAAUUCCUGGUGUAGCGGUGAAAUGCGCAGAUAUCAGGAAGAACACCCCGUGGCGAAGGCGUCUC
rnacentral:rRNA from 1 species